ACGAACGCUGGCGGCGUGCCUAACACGUGCAAGUCGAGCGGAGGCAGCGGAGGAGUAAUCUGAAGCAGUCUGAGCGGCGGACGGGUGAGUAACGCGUGAGCAACCUGCCUUUCACAGGGGGAUAACGCAGCGAAAGCUGCACUAAUACCGCAUGAGACCACAGUGGAGAUACCACAGGGGUCAAAGGGGAAAUCCGGUGAGAGAUGGGCUCGCGUCCGAUUAGGUAGUUGGUGAGGUAAAGGCCCACCAAGCCAAUGAUCGGUAGCCGGCCUGAGAGGGUGAACGGCCACAUUGGAACUGAGAGGCGGUCCAAACUCCUACGGGGGGCAGCAGUGGGGAAUAUUGGGCAAUGGGGGAAACCCUGACCCAGCAACGCCGCGUGAGGGAAGAAGGUUUUCGGAUUGUAAACCUCUGUUCUUGGUGAAGAGAAGAAGACGGUAGCCAAGGAGGAAGCCCCGGCUAACUACGU
rnacentral:rRNA from 1 species